ensembl:lncRNA
GGACGGGUAGCCUAUCCUCAUUAGAGUGGUCUCUCUGCGUCCUCCCCCAACAGGACGGGUAGCAUAUCCUCAUCAGAGUGGUCUUUGAAACCUUGAAUAUGUUUAUUUAAAUCAAAUAAAAAUAGUCAGGGAAUGCAGCUCUGUCUCAGGUUCUGCUGUGGUGCAGUGGUUGCACAGCCUUUCUUCUACAUCAGUUAUUCCAAAAGUGGGGGGGUACGCCAAAUUAAAAUGUCAUUCACAUUUAAAAAAUAUAUAGAUUUUUUAAUUCACAUUUUCAAACAGUAUAUUUAUGUUUUCCAACGGUUCUAUACAUUUGGGUGUUUUUCCCCCCUCGUCUGAGUAGCCUCAUUUCACUGCCAAAAGUAUAAUUGAACCAUCUAGUGUUCAGCGAAACAACAAUGUCAAAUACAGGUAGCCUAGUCAAAUAAUGAACAUCCAAUCACAUUAACCGUUACUCUCUCAUGGGAAAUCUUCACUCUUGCGCAGACAUUUAGAAAGGACACAUCAGAAUUAGAAAAAUAAGACACAGGAGUUUUUUGAGUGAGAAUAAAAAUGACUUUCGAGUAGUAAGACAUGUAUAAAAGCAACAGAUACCAUUAAGAAGGGGCUAGACGCAUCUUAUAUGGUGAGCUACCGAGUGGCUAGGACAGGCAAGCCCCAUACUGUUUUGAAACAAUUACUGCUUCGCAUACAAGCCAGUGAAUUAUGUGUGUUAAAGCUGGAUGAGUCAACAGACGUGGCAGGCCUGGCACAGUUCCUGGUAUACUGUAUGUCCGUUACAUGGGGGAGUCAAUUAAGGAAGACAUCCUCUUCUGUGCCCUGGUCCUAUAAGAGCUCUUUGUCACUUCCCACAAGCCGGGUUUUGACAAAAACUUACACUCAUUCUUAUGUUUGAUAAAUAUAUUGUAUAGUGUGUGUGCGGCAGGCUUACAAUGAUGGCAAACUGUGCUCACUGAGCCUGUACUUUGUCAAGGUUUUGUUCAGUAACCAUGGUCAAGUAGUUUGCCACGGUGUACUAUCGAUUAAGGGCCAGAUCACUACAUUUCGCUUGUGCUUGUGUUUCCCAAUAAGUCAUGUUGUUUUGUUUUGAUCUCGUUGAUUGGAUGUUCUGGUUCUGAGGUUUCAAGUGUGUUAGUCGAACAGGUUUGUGAACUCAGCCCCAGGACCAGCUGGAUGAGGGGACUCUUUUCUUUGCUCAGCUCUAGGUAUUACGGGGCUUGGUAAUGAUAUGACAGGGGUCACUGAAUUUGAGAUGUUUCCAUUCCAAUUGCUCUUUUUUGAUUUUUUAUCAUUCGUGGAUAUUGGCCGAAUUCAAGCCCUGUGUGCAUUGUUUGUAGUUUUCCUCUGGACAGAUAGGAGGAUCUUAUAGAACUCUGCAUGCAGGGUUUCAACGGGGUGUUUGUCCCAUUGGGUGAAAUCCUGUUUUGCAAGUGGACCCCACACCUCACUGCAAUGAAGUGCAAUUGGUUCAAUGUCACAUUCAAUUCGCCACAUUUUAAUAGGUAUUUCAAUUUGAAUUUGUUUUUGGUGCCGUAGAAUGCCCUGCAUGCUUUCUCUCUCAGUUCAUUCAUUGCAUCAUUAAGGUGUCCAAUUGAGCACAUUUUUAAACCUAAGUAAUUGUAUUAUGUGCAGUGCCAAUUGAGAACUUUGGUAUAAUUCCCUGAGAUCUGGAUCUUCUCUGGAAAAUCAUUAUUUUAGUUUUUUGAGGUUUACUGCCAGGGCCCAGGUAUGGCAGUACUGCACUAGCAGGUCCAGGCUCUGCUGUAAGGCCAUGUGCUGUGGGUGACAGCAGGCAUAGGUCAUCUGCGAAGAGUAGGCAUUUAACCUCUGAAUUGUGGAGACUAACACCAGGGGCUGAGGAUUUUUUCUAGAAUAGUGGUCAAUUCGUUGAUGUAAAUAUUGAAGAGUGCAGGGUUCCGAUUGCAACCCUGGUGAAAGCCCUGCCGCUGGUUAAAGAAUUGUUAUUUUUUGCAAAUUGAUUUAAUUAUGUCAUAUGUUUUACCAUUAUACACCACUUUCAAUAACUUUGUAGUGUAAUAACUUUGCCCUGUAUGCCAAAUAGAAUCAAAUGCUUUUUGGAAGUUGAUAAAGCAAUUUUGGUAUUGUUUAGGCGGACAUGUUUAUCUAUCAGGGUGUGUAGGGUGUAAAUAUGAUCGGUCGUGCGAUGUUUUGGUAUGAAUCCAAUUGGGCUUUUACUCAAGACAAUGUGCUUAUGCAAUAAAAUGCAAAUGAAUUAUUUAAAAAUCAUACAAUGUGAUUUUCUGGAUUUCUGUUUUAGAUUCCGUCUCUCACUGUUGAAGUGUACCUAUGAUAAAAAUUACAGACCUCUACAUGCUCUGUAAAUAGGAAAACCUGCAAAAUCGGCAGUGUAUCAAAUACUUGUUCUCCCCACUGUAGUUGUUGUUUGCUGCUAGAUUGAUACCUUCUCUACUAUGAGUGGAUGUGCUAUCCAGAAAGUUUUCUAAGAGUGUAUGGAUAGUAGGCCAUC